rnacentral:rRNA from 11 species
GUGAGGUCUCCGGUGGCGCGGGCCCCUGUAAUUUUUGUGCUGGUCAGGGCUUUUGUGUUGGCUAUGCUGAUGGCCGUGGGCAUAGCCGUCGGAGAAGUCGUAACAUGGUGUCCGUAGGUGUGCUUGUGGAAGGAUCAUU